AGCAGCCGCGGUAAUUCCAGCUCCAAUAGCGUAUAUUAAAGUUGUUGCAGUUAAAAGCUCGUAGUUGAAUUUCGGGAUCAAUUAAUCGGUCGUGCCUCUGGUACGCACUGGUUUUAUUGGUUUCUCCCUUCUGACGAACCAGGAUGUCAUUAAUUUGGUGUCUUGGAGAAUCAGGACUGUUACUUUGAAAAAUUGAGUGUUUAAAGCAGGCUAACGCUUGAAUACAUUAGCAUGGAAUAACGAAAUAGGACGUUUGAUCCUAUUUUGUGGUUUCU
rnacentral:misc_RNA from 1 species